rnacentral:rRNA from 1 species
AGUGAACGCUGGCGGUAGGCCCAACACAUGCAAGUCGAACGGCAGCACAGUAAGAGCUUGCUCUUACGGGUGGCGAGUGGCGGACGGGUGAGGAAUACAUCGGAAUCUACUUUUUCGUGGGGGAUAACGUAGGGAGACUUACGCUAAUACCGCAUACGACCUACGGGUGAAAGCAGGGGAUCUUCGGACCUUGCGCGAUUGAAUGAGCCGAUGUCGGAUUAGCUAGUUGGCGGGGUAAAGGCCCACCAAGGCGACGAUCCGUAGCUGGCCUGAGAGGAUGAUCAGCCACACUGGAACUGAGACACGGUCCAGACUCCUACGGGAGGCAGCAGUGGGGAAUAUUGGACAAUGGGCGCAAGCCUGAUCCAGCCAUACCGCGUGGGUGAAGAAGGCCUUCGGGUUGUAAAGCCCUUUUGUUGGGAAAGAAAAGCAGCAGGUUAAUACCCCGCUGUUCUGACGGUACCCAAAGAAUAAGCACCGGCUAACUUCGUG